rnacentral:lncRNA from 1 species
GCCAUGUUGUUCAAGGGGGACUGCAUUUCGGGGUGCUCAGCCGCACAGAGAAGGCAGCUUCCGGGGAGCUCUGCCACGUCGCGGGCAUGUCUCCUUGCAGGAGCUUUAGCUUCAGUGGCCGGAAGACCCGAACCCAGGGUGAGGACUCAGAUGGCAUCUCCAUCAGAAGCAACUGCCUCCAGCUUCAAACUGUCCUCAGCUGCAGACUGAGUCCUGACCUGAGACAUUUAGCUUUG